rnacentral:rRNA from 1 species
GACCCCAUGCCGAACUCAGAAGUGAAACGCCGUAGCGCCGAUGGUAGUGUGGGGUCUCCCCAUGCGAGAGUAGGGAAUUGCCAGGC